rnacentral:rRNA from 1 species
GUAGGGAAUAUUGCGCAAUGGACGAAACCCUGACGCAGCGACGCCGCGUGAGUGAUGAAGGCCUUCGGGUCGUAAAGCUCUGUUGCAGGGGAAUAAAAAAAUGAAGGUACCCUGUGAGGAAGGAUCGGCUAACUUCGUGCCAGCAGCCGCGGUAAGACGAGGGAUCCUAGCGUUGCUCGGAAUCAUUGGGCGUAAAGAGGGCGUAGGUGGCUUGGUAAGUCAGGUGUGAAAGCCCAGGGCUCAACCCUGGAAGUGCAUUUGAUACUGCUGAGCUUGAGUGUCGGAGAGGUUACCGGAAUACCUGGUGUAGUGGUGAAAUACGUAGAUAUCAGGUGGAACACCGGAGGCGAAGGCGGGUAACUGGACGAACACUGACACUGAGGCCCGAAAGCGUGGGGAUCAAACAGGAUUAGAUACCCUGGUAGUCC